GUAAUUUUUGUCUUAUGCAAUGUUUUCUUAUUUUUAUUAAUUCUUGUUCAUCAUCACUAUAAAACUUAAACGACUUCUGUUUCUUUGUCAUAGGAAGUAAUGAUUCUGCUUCAUAAUCUUGAGUAAAAUAUCUCGAAAACACACCAGGACUAAGCUUCUGUAAUGACUUCAUUCUCUGUGCUACAUUGUUAAUGAGAGAUGCUUCUUUUCUUCUAUCUUCUCACUUUUACCAGAAGGGUAUCUUUGACCCUGAUGUUUUCAUAGUUAUAAAAGAACAACAACAAAAAAAGGCAACAAAAUACCAGCAUUCAGCAGAUAUUUUGAGAGGGAUGUUGUGACAGCUGAGUCUUUGGUCAGUUCAAGCCCAUUUUGCUGCAAAAUAAGUUUCGGUGCCAAAUUUAUGGAAUCACUUUUGGUUUUAAGGGCUUUUCAGAUCAGGAUUGCAGACAAUGAGUUGUGGAUCUAAUUCUUUUGUAGAGAAUUAUUUUGUGCAGUGGAAGAAAUAUCAGUUUCUUGCUGUAUGAAGAAAAGCUUCCUGAGCACCUAGGACAGGAACUCACCCCCCCCUUUUUUUAAUCAGAGCCCCCGCUUUAGUCUUGGAACAAAGUACGUCUGAUGACCAAACAAGGAUUCUGAUUGCCGCGGAUCACCAGCCUGAGUACACGGAAAUGCUGUCAUUUGUAGAGAGAAGCAUUUUGACUGGCACACCAAUCCAGAAAAGAUACUGUAGAGCUCAAGAACUUCUAAGUGUGUUGACCUCACAACUUCGCCGGUUGGACUCCCUUCCUGAUCAGGGCUAUCAGCACGACACAGGCUCAUCACAGAGAAGCCAUUGCUCUUCAUGUCCCCUGAGGCCGGGGCUGGGUUUGAAGCAGGAAGCCCUGGCCUGGGCCUCUCAGGGUUUCUGAGGCAAUGGUGACAGGGGAGGUCCUGGGAGGCUGGCCAAGAAAUAAAUUGUUCGUUGAAGCCACCA
rnacentral:lncRNA from 1 species